rnacentral:rRNA from 1 species
UAACACAUGCAAGUCGAACGGCAGCACAGGAGAGCUUGCUCUCUGGGUGGCGAGUGGCGGACGGGUGAGGAAUACAUCGGAAUCUACCUUUUCGUGGGGGAUAACGUAGGGAAACUUACGCUAAUACCGCAUACGACCUACGGGUGAAAGUGGGGGACCGCAAGGCCUCACGCGAUUAGAUGAGCCGAUGUCCGAUUAGCUAGUUGGCGGGGUAAUGGCCCACCAAGGCGACGAUCGGUAGCUGGUCUGAGAGGAUGAUCAGCCACACUGGAACUGAGACACGGUCCAGACUCCUACGGGAGGCAGCAGUGGGGAAUAUUGGACAAUGGGCGCAAGCCUGAUCCAGCCAUACCGCGUGGGUGAAGAAGGCCUUCGGGUUGUAAAGCCCUUUUGUUGGGAAAGAAAUCCUAUCGGUUAAUAACCGGUGGGGAUGACGGUACCCAAAGAAUAAGCACCGGCUAACUUCGUGCCAGCACCCGCGGUAAUA